UACGUAGGGGGCAAGCGUUGUCCGGAUUCAUUGGGCGUAAAGAGCGUGUAGGCGGCCAGGUAGGUCGGUUGUGAAAACUGGAGGCUCAACCUUCAGAGGUCGACCGAAACCAUCUGGCUAGAGUCCGGGAGAGGAGAGUGGAAUUCCUGGUGUAGCGGUGAAAUGCGCAGAUAUCAGGAAGAACACCCGUGGCGAAAGCGGCUCUCUGGUCCGGACCUGACGCUGAGGCGCGAAAAGCGUGGGGAGCAAACAGG
rnacentral:rRNA from 1 species